UACGUAGGGCGCAAGCGUUAUCCGGAAUUAUUGGGCGUAAAGAGCUCGUAGGCGGUUUGUCACGUCUGCUGUGAAAACUGGAGGCUCAACCUCCAGCCUGCAGUGGGUACGGGCAGACUAGAGUGCGGUAGGGGAGAUUGGAAUUCCUGGUGUAGCGGUGGAAUGCGCAGAUAUCAGGAGGAACACCGGUGGCGAAGGCGGGUCUCUGGGCCGAUACUGACGCUGAGGAGCGAAAGCGUGGGGAGCGAACAGG
rnacentral:rRNA from 1 species